CACAGACGGCAGCUGCGGCCUAGCCCCCAGGCUUCACUUGGCGUGGACAACUUGCUAAGUAAAGUGGGGGGUGGGCCACGGCUGGCUCCUACCUGGACAGGCCUCCAGCUAAC
rnacentral:pre_miRNA from 2 species